AGUGGCAGACGGGUGAGUAACACGUGGUCAACCUACCUCUGUGUGGGGGAUAACUAGCCGAAAGGUUAGCUAAUACCGCAUACGAUCGUUUGGGGGCAUCCCCGAACGAUGAAAGGAGCAAUCCGCAAAGAGAGGGGACUGCGUCCCAUUAGUUAGUUGGUGGGGUAACGGCCUACCAAGACUCCGAUGGGUAGCUGGCUUGAGAGAGCGACCAGCCACACAGGAACUGAGACACGGUCCAGACUCCUACGGGAGGCAGCAGUGGGGAAUUUUCCGCAAUGGGCGAAAGCCUGACGGAGCGACGCCGCGUGUGGGAAGAAGGCCUUCGGGUCGUAAACCACUGUCGAAGGGGACGAUAUUGACGGUACCCUUGGAGGAAGCCCCGGCUAACUACGUGCCAGCAGCCGCGGUAAGACGUAGGGGGCUAGCGUUGUCCGGAAUUAUUGGGCGUAAAGCGCUCGUAGGUGGAUUUGCAAGUCCGCAAGCAAAGACCCGGGCUCAACUCGGGAAUCCGUGUGGA
rnacentral:rRNA from 1 species